AGCUUGCUAUGAUGAAAAUUAGUGGCAGACGGGUGAGUAAUGCAUAGGAAUCUACCUAGUAGUAUGGGAUAGCCACUAGAAAUGGUGGGUAAUACUGUAUAAUCCCUGCGGGGGAAAGAUUUAUCGCUAUUAGAUGAGCCUAUGUUAGAUUAGCUAGUUGGUAGGGUAAAGGCCUACCAAGGCAGUGAUCUAUAGCUGGUCUGAGAGGAUGAUCAGCCACACUGGAACUGAGAUACGGUCCAGACUCCUACGGGAGGCAGCAGUGGGGAAUAUUGGACAAUGGGCGCAAGCCUGAUCCAGCUAUGCCGCGUGAGUGA
rnacentral:rRNA from 1 species